AAACCUACCUGGCAGGGAAGAUAGCAUGCUCAAGAUGUUCUCCCAGGUGAAGCGCUGCCAUUUAGCUCUGCUGAGCUCUGCGUUGCCCCACAGGUGAGAAACUCGACUGCAUAAUUUGUGGUUGUGGAAUGCGUUCGCGUAUUCCC
rnacentral:snRNA from 1 species